GUCCGAGUCCUUUUCGUUGUUCUGGGAAUACAAGUGUGUCCUCCCUGGAACUUGUGACCAAUGUCUCAUGACUACCCUCAACUCAUAGCAAUGAGCAACAUUAUAUGAUAGGAACCUUUAAUACUGAGAAUGAGACAUCUAAACAAUGGUAAUA